ensembl:snoRNA
GGAGAAGCAAAGUGAUGAGCUUUACUGGCUGGAGCCCCAAAGAGGCAGGCGUGUGUGUAUGUCUGUGUCUGUAUCCUUGUCUGUGCAUGCACAUGGAUGUCUGGGAGUGUGAAUGUGUGUGACUGUUAGUAGGGAGCUAGUUAUGUGCCUUCUGUUGGAUGGACCAUGACAGUCAAACUGAUAAGAUCUGAUUGCUUC